rnacentral:rRNA from 1 species
AGAGUUUGAUUCUGGCUCAGGACGAACGCUGGCGGCGUGCCUAACACAUGCAAGUCGAACGGAGCUGUUUUGACUGAUCCCUUCGGGGUGACGAUGAUUCAGCUUAGUGGCGGACGGGUGAGUAACGCGUGAGCAACCUGCCUUUCAGUGGGGGACAACAGUUGGAAACGACUGCUAAUACCGCAUAAUAUCCUUUUGGGGCAUCCCUUUUGGAUCAAAGAUUUAUUGCUGAAAGAUGGGCUCGCGUCUGAUUAGCUAGUUGGUGGGGUAACGGCCCACCAAGGCGACGAUCAGUAGCCGGACUGAGAGGUUGAACGGCCACAUUGGGACUGAGAUACGGCCCAG